GAUGAAGAACGUAGCGAAAUGCGAUAAGUAAUGUGAAUUGCAGAAUUCAGUGAAUCAUCGAAUCUUUGAACGCACAUUGCGCCCGCCAGUAUUCUGGCGGACAUGCCUGUCCGAGCGUCAUUUCAACCCUCGGGCCCCCCUCUGCGGGCGGCCCGGCGUUGGGGCUCAGGCGCCGUCUCUGCUCGGCGCCUGUCCCCUAAAUGCAGUGGCGGCCUCGCCGCUGCCUCCUCCGCGUAGUAGCACAAACCUCGCGGCUGGAAGGCGGCGCGGCCACGCCGUAAAACCCCCCAACUUUACCAAGGUUGACCUCGGAUCAGGUAGGAAUACCCGCUGAACUUAAGCAUAUCAAUAAGCGGAGGA
rnacentral:misc_RNA from 1 species